rnacentral:rRNA from 1 species
UGGGGAAUAUUGGGCAAUGGGCGCAAGCCUGACCCAGCAACGCCGCGUGAGGGAAGAAGGUUUUCGGAUUGUAAACCUCUGUCCUUGAUGAAAAGAAGAAGAUGGUAAUCAAGGAGGAAGCCCCGGCUAACUACGUGCCAGCAGCCGCGGUAAUACGUAGGGGGCGAGCGUUGUCCGGAAUGAUUGGGCGUAAAGGGCGCGUAGGCGGCCAUUUAAGUCUGGAGUGAAAGUCCUGUUUUUAAGAUGGGAACUGCUUUGGAUACUGGAUGGCUUGAGUGCAGGAGAGGUUAUCGGAAUUCCCGGUGUAGCGGUGAAAUGCGUAGAGAUCGGGAGGAACACCAGUGGCGAAGGCGGGUAACUGGACUGCAACUGACGCUGAGGCGCGAAAGUGUGGGGAGCAAACAGG